AUCCGCCGGCGCCGUCGUCCGACCUCGGCCUCUGAGUGUGCUCACGCCAUGGCCUGCUCGAGACGCCGCCCUUCCCCCCUGCUCCAACCCUAACCCUAGCAUUGCUGCUGCAGGGGGGUGGAUCCCAAUGGCAGCGUUGCAGUCCUCUAAAUCUGUGGGGAAGAAGGAAGAAGAUGUGACUCAUAUACAAGCCUCUCUCUGGUGGAAUUGAAGAUCUGCCCAUCCCUGCAUCGUGUAGACUAUGGCCUGCAGAAAACAUCUGAUGACAUGGACGUGAUGGGAUAUUUAAACAAGUCAAUUGCCAAGCUACAAAUGGGGCUGGCAAUGUGGCGCAACAAGCCUAAGCUGCUUGAGAGUGCAGAUAUGCAUGAGGCAGGAAAGGAAAAAGGCUUCAGUACCAUGAAGACCUGGAUGCCUCAAGGUUCAUACUUUGCAAUGCUAUUUGAUUUUUCCUUUUGUUGGCCUAGCUAUUGGUUGCUGAGUUUAUUUUUCUUAGUUAGAACAGAUGCAAAUGAUUUCACAGGAACCCCAAAGCCUGCAACUAACAAGGAAUGUACGGGCAAAUGUGCAAGUACAUAAUUAAAGAAUUGAAUCGGAUCAUCUAUCAUCAUAGCAAAUAGACUCAAAUCAAAUAUGAUUAUUUAUCAUAAUAAUAACUAGAAUAACUGAAUAGGGUUAUUAAUCAUAUGCAACCAUUUUUGCUUCUUCCCAUUUUGCAUCGCCGUGUUUAUUCCAUGUAGUAGUAAAAUGUUUUUUUAUGUGUUCGUUGCAGGGAGGCCUGCGAGGAAUGUGCUCCGACCGGCAAGGUGCUGCUCAACAGCGAGAAGCACCAUCGGCGUCAGCAGUGUCAGCGUCACCGCCUCCUCGGCAUGCAGAAGACGUCACUCCCAAAUCAUCUCUGUAAUGCAUCCAGGUAUACCAGAUGCUACUACUGUUCUCCCUGCCCCUAUCUCUAUAAUUGAUUGUUCACUAGCCUGGCCCAUGGGAGCACCACGACUCAGGACAAUGUUUUAGUAGACGUAAAUGAUUGUCGGUUUAUUGAGUUAAGAUUUGUUUAUGGUGAGGUCAUGCCAUGUUGUUAGUGGGCACAAAUAUUUAGUGAGUUAUUGGUUCAGGAGAUCAACAUAUGGUUUAGUAUCUAUGAAGAGAUGAGUCUCGUGGCGGUGAGCGGAAUGGAGACAAGGAUGGCGACUUGAUGCUUCUCGGAGACCUCCUCUGGAGGUGAAAUUUCUGGGCCUUUUGUUUGCUAUUUUACAGAGUUGGAUCUGCAUGCUCGUGUUGUUCUUCAGCUUAUGUCAUGUAGUUUAGAUUCAUAUAUACACUACUUAGUUAGGAGCUGAUUGUUUAUAUAUGCAUCAAGCAAUAGUUGGUACUCGCUGAUUACAUUAACGGUAACUACAGAAACCUUUCCAUGCUCAGCAUUAUCGGCGACCUCUCUGAUUUGGAUUUGUACUUCGUUAUUGUGAAAGGUUUUUUGGGCAUCCGAUCGAGAUCUGGAGAA